UACGUAGGUGACAAGCGUUGUCCGGAUUUACUGGGCGUAAAGAGCGCGCAGGCGGUCGUUCAAGUCGAGUGUGAAAGCCCCCGGCUCAACUGGGGAGGGUCACUCGAUACUGAUCGACUCGAAGGCAGGAGAGGGAAGUGGAAUUCCCGGUGUAGCGGUGAAAUGUGUAGAGAUCGGGAAGAACACCCGUGGCGAAGGCGACGUGCUGGGCUGAACCUGACGCUGAGAUGCGAAAGUGUGGGGAGCAAACGGG
rnacentral:rRNA from 1 species